GAUGAACGCUGGCGGCGUGCUUAACACAUGCAAGUCGAACGGAAAGGCCCCUGCUUGCAGGGGUACUCGAGUGGCGAACGGGUGAGUAACACGUGGGUGAUCUGCCCUGCACUUCGGGAUAAGCCUGGGAAACUGGGUCUAAUACCGGAUAGGACGAUGGGCUGCAUGCCAUUGUGGAAAGUUUUUCGGUGUGGGAUGAGCUCGCGGCCUAUCAGCUUGUUGGUGGGGUAAUGGCCUACCAAGGCGUCGACGGGUAGCCGGCCUGAGAGGGUGUACGGCCACAUUGGGACUGAGAUACGGCCCAGACUCCUACGGGAGGCAGCAGUGGGGAAUAUUGCACAAUGGGCGCAAGCCUGAUGCAGCAACGCCGCGUGGGGGAUGACGGCCUUCGGGUUGUAAACUCCUUUCGCUAGGGACGAAGCGCAAGUGACGGUACCUGGAGAAGAAGCACCGGCUAACUACGUG
rnacentral:rRNA from 1 species